GGCUUGUUUCCUGUCUCAGUUUGAAUCCAGGGACUGAGGCUAUAACCUAACUCAGGAGGCUCUUAGCUGCCUUCUCUCUUUUCCAACUGGAUAAAUAAUUUAGCCCAUUACAGUGCCAAGUCCUAGCUGCAGCGUUUCCAAGGAGGGGACACACUGGCCUCGGUUAACAGCACAGCUCUGCUGUUUCUGGGCCCUCUUUCAAUGUGGCACUCGGGUAGUGAGAGCUUUCUCAGCAUAACAAAAAGUGGAAUUUCCUAUUGUUGGGCAAGAAGGACUUAAAGAAGAGGAUUUAUCCAUAGGCGUUGAACCCAGCAACCCCCCAGUAAGAUUUGCCUGCCUAAUACUGAUACUUCUAUGAAGUGGUACUGCAAAGAACUAUUCGUCAAACCUAUUCCACAGCUUAAAAGUGAAAGAUACACAAAAUAUAAGUCCUUGAAGGCAAGGCCUACAUCUUCAUAUUCCGAGGUGCCAAGCAUAAUAUCUUUCUUCUAAAGGAUACUUGACAGUAUUUGUGAUAUAAAUAUUAAAGCAAAAAAGA